GCGGGCGUAGUUCAGUGGUAGAACGUCUGCUUGCCAAGCAGAAGGUCGUGGGUUCAAGCCCCAUCGCCCGCUCCA
rnacentral:tRNA from 1 species